AGAUGAAGGCAGAGAUCACAUGAUGCAGAGGAAGGCAGGAAGUGCUAAUGAUUUGCAGCAAACCACCAGAAGCUUGACAAGAGGCAUGGAGCAGAUGCUUCCUCACAGCCCUCAGAAGGAACCAACCCGCCAACCCCUUGAUCUCAGAUUUCUGGCCUCCAGAACCGCGAGACAGCAGAUUUCCAUGGCUUGAGCCGCCCGGUUUGUAGUACUUCAUUAUGGCAGCUCCAGCAAACAAAUACAGAUUUAUGACCUCGUCUACCCGACGAGGAUGCCUGGCCCAAGCUGGCAUACUAAGAGUUUUCCUGGAACUUGGGAACUGGGACAAAGAGGGACUAAGCCAGCAAGACCGAAAAGCAUGGCAGUCCCAGGACAGCCAUGAAAACCAUAUGUGAAUUAAUGAGUGAGCAGAUUGGAGCAGCAUUGUUUUGGACCCUAAGGACGUCACGUACAAAAUGCACUUAAAUCCUUGCCUCCUGGAGCUGAUGAUAAAGAAGAUGGACAAGUAAAACAUAUGGAAUGUGAAAUGGUGAUAAGAGUGAUGGAGAAAAUAAAACAGGAGAGGAGGUUGGAAUUGCCAGGUUACGACACAGCAAGAAGGCCCUCGCCAGAUGCAUCUCCUCCAUGUUGGACUUCCCAGCCUCCAGAUCCCUGAGCCAGAUAAAUUUCUAUGGUUUACAAAUUACCUAGUCUGUGGUAGUCUGUUACAGCAAUACAAAUGGACUAAGACAAUUAUCAUAUCUAACAAAACAAAAAUUCUUUCAAAUCAUCAUGUAUCCAUUCAAAUUCAAAAUUUCUUGAUUGUGUCGAAGUAAGGUUUUUUUAAACAUUAAUUUAGUUUGAUUCACAUUUCAAUUUUUAGUCUAGCACAGGAUCACCCACGAGGGAGCAUUUUGAAAAAGUGUGGAGUGUUUUUGGUUGCCCCAAUGAUGGGUAAGGGGCUUACUUCUGGCAAGUAGAGGCUGGGACCCCAGGCAGCUCAAUCUUUUACUAUCUGUGAGACAAUCUCACCAUCUCAUAUAUACUUACCCUAUGCUCCACACAAUUUUCAAAUGUUCUACUAGAUAUUUACAGAGUUGUUUAUAACUUGCUUAUAACUAUCUGAGCUUUAAAAAGUAACAAUUUUAUAUGUAAACAGAGAGACUUUUUAAAAAUGAUUUUUAAUAUGCACUAACUGUAUGCUAAGAAUGAAACUACUCUGUAAAUUAAGGGAAGAUUAGAGUUUGUGUUGUUAAUUUCUUUACCAGAUUUGCUCACUCUUUUGGAAAAUCACAUCAUUGACUGCCACACCACUCAUGGCUUCAGAUUCAGCUUCUGUUUCCUGAGUGCCUCCACUAUACCAGCCAUUGGGCCAGGCAUCCAGAAGCCCUAAGGUAGACCUCAUCAUCCCUGUUCUACAGGAGAGGAAAACCAAGACUUGGCUACUACAGUAUACAAAGGGUGUGGAAAAGUCCUCCUAGAACCCUUACCCUGCUUCCAGGAGGAGCUGGACAGUUCUUUCCAAGUCCAGGCAGAAAGAAGUCUCCUCUUUUUCCAUUCUCUUUGUUACUUUAUAUGUCUGUGCAGGCUUGGUUGAGGAAGAAGGGGGGCCAGAAGGAAGUCUGGCCAGAUGGCAGGGUAAUAAAUGACUCUGACUUAAUAAUUUGUUGCUCUCCUCUUAAUUAAAAGGCUUUUCCCUAAAUGAUUUGCUGAUCACACAAACAGCACACACUAGUUGGGCGAGGACUGGGGGCCCAGGGAAAUCUAGACUGAGAGGAGAAGGCAUUGGAAUAAAGAGGUGGCAGAUGGCAGAAGAAGCCCACCCUCCAUGUCCCAGGGUGGGCCCAGCUUCAGGAGCUCCCUCCUCCUCAGGUCUGAAACAAUUCAAUCCAAUGAUAGAGCUUUGGGGGACUGGUUCUUCUUUCAGGCCUCAGCUUUUCUGGAAGCUGACUUUGCCAGGGGGCUUUUUAAUUUCUGGGAUGAAGAUAUAAGCUUUAUUUUAUCUAACACGUGGCUUUGCAUUCAGUUUCCUCAAAGCCCCAUGUGGCCUUGGGGGGUGAUCAGGUAGCCUUUGGACCAUUUUGCAUAUAAACUGUCACUUAUACACUUGAUCAACUGGGGUGGUGGUCAUAGAGGGGGACAGGGCACCCAUUGUUCCAAGCAGCGUCCUGUCAAUAUCUGCAGUUGCAAGCAAAUGACACUAGAUAGUGUCAAUGGAUAAGCUCUCUAUUGCAUCUUUACAACUGCAAUUUAUAAGUUCCUGGGAUUAAAAUCUGCUUUCCAGCAAUUAUCACACAGAGGUAUAUUUUCAAAGCCUCACAUGUAAUUAGAACAUGUUAUUGAUAAAGUGCUAGCUAAAGAUUUAGACUUUGAGUCUGUUCAUGAGGGAUCAGUUUUGUUAAUAUUGAUAAUGUUUUCCCCCUUUAAUGCAGUUAGGAGUUAGAUUGAGAUGCCAAAUUCAAUCAAAAUGCACAUCUUAUCCCCCGCCAAGGGACUUCUGGCUCUCUUUUACUUGUUCAGACUUGUAGAAAGGACCCCAGAGAUCGUGUCAUAUAGGAAAACAUCCUGCCAAUCUAUAACUCUAUGUUAAAGAAUAAACUCUUUUACACAUUAUUUUGGUUAACUAGAUUUUUCUCAGCAUUUGUGCUUCCAUCAGAUUGGAUCAUCCUUGCCAUAACCACCAUCUUCCUAUUAUUGCUGGAUUCCAAAUUUCUACUUAGCCAGUUCAGACACCACUUCAUCCGCUUAACCUUCCUGAUUCUGUAUUCCCUGUGUCUCCAUCAUCAGAGCUCCUCACUAAACCCCCAAGGCCAUUUAUCUGUGAUUGAUUGAUUGAUUUCUUUUUAGAGACGGAGUCUCACUAUGUUUCCCAGGCUAGAGCACAGUGUCUAUUCACAGGCAUAAUCAUAGCCCACUAAGGCCUUGAAUUCCUGGGCUCAAGCAACCCUCUUGACUCAGCCUCCUAAGCAGCUGGGACUACAGGCACACACCACUGCACUGAUCUUAUCCACAAUUCUUUUUUUAUUAUAUUUUCCACACAGGUAUUCUCUCUUCUCCUAGUCUUUAAGUUCCUUGAGACAAACUUUCUUUUUAGUGUUUGUAUUUCAUCUGUUGGCAACAGUAUCUUGCACACAAAUCAUAAAGACCAAGUUGAAGAGGCUUCUUACUUUGUUUCAUCAGUCUGCUAAUAUGUUAUCAAUAUCACACUAGUUUUAUUAUUGUAGCUUUGUAGUAUAUUUUAAACAUUAAUAGAAUAAUAACUUACAUUUAUUGAUUACUUAAUGUAUUCCAGGCAAUGAGCUAAGUGCUUUACAUGAUCUCAGGUAAUCCUAACAGGAAGUCUAUGGGAUAGGUACAAUUAUUUCCAUAUUACAGAUGGAAAAAACAAAAUUUAAAGAGAUGAAUUUACUCCAAGACAAAUGCAAAAAGUGCAGAACAGUGUAUAUAGCACACUGCCAUCUGUAUGAAAGGGAAGAUAAAUAAAUGUUUUUACUUAAAUGUGCAUAGAAU
rnacentral:lncRNA from 10 species